UACAGAGGAGCCAAGCGUUGUCCGGAUUGACUGGGCGUAAAGCGCACGCAGGCGGUCGCGCGCGUGGGGUGUGAAAUCUGGCCGCUUAACGGCCAGGCGCCAUCCCAUACGGCGCGACUGGAGUGAUGCAGAGGUCGGUGGAAUUGCCGGUGUAGUGGUGAAAUGCGUAGAGAUCGGCAGGAACACCCAGGGGGGAAACCAGCCGACUGGGCAUCUACUGACGCUGAGGUGCGAGAGCGUGGGGAGCGAACCGG
rnacentral:rRNA from 1 species